rnacentral:misc_RNA from 1 species
GGAAGUAAAAGCGUAACAAGGUCUCCGUUGGUGAACCAGCGGAGGGAUCAUUACAGGAACUCGCAAGACUCCUAACCCACUGUGAACCUACCCGACGUUGCCUCGGCGGGCGCCCGGCCUCGCGCCGGGCACCAAGCCCGCCGGCGGCCCCCUACUCUGUCUCUGCAGCGUUGUGUCUCCGAGUAUACCAAAACAAGUCAAAACUUUCAACAACGGAUCUCUUGGCUCUA